rnacentral:rRNA from 1 species
ACGAACGCUGGCGGCGUGCCUAAUACAUGCAAGUCGAACGCUUCUUUUUCCACCGGAGCUUGCUCCACCGGAAAAAGAGGAGUGGCGAACGGGUGAGUAACACGUGGGUAACCUGCCCAUCAGAAGGGGAUAACACUUGGAAACAGGUGCUAAUACCGUAUAACAAUCGAAACCGCAUGGUUUUGAUUUGAAAGGCGCUUUCGGGUGUCGCUGAUGGAUGGACCCGCGGUGCAUUAGCUAGUUGGUGAGGUAACGGCUCACCAAGGCGACGAUGCAUAGCCGACCUGAGAGGGUGAUCGGCCACAUUGGGACUGAGACACGGCCCAAACUCCUACGGGAGGCAGCAGUAGGGAAUCUUCGGCAAUGGACGAAAGUCUGACCGAGCAACGCCGCGUGAGUGAAGAAGGUUUUCGGAUCGUAAAACUCUGUUGUUGGAGAAGAACAAGGAUGAGAGUAACUGUUCAUCCCUUGACGGUAUCUAACCAGAAAGCCACGGCUAACUACGUGCCAGCAGCCGCGGUAAUACGUAGGUGGCAAGCGUUGUCCGGAUUUAUUGGGCGUAAAGCGAGCGCAGGCGGUUUCUUAAGUCUGAUGUGAAAGCCCCCGGCUCAACCGGGGAGGGUCAUUGGAAACUGGGAGACUUGAGUGCAGAAGAGGAGAGUGGAAUUCCAUGUGUAGCGGUGAAAUGCGUAGAUAUAUGGAGGAACACCAGUGGCGAAGGCGGCUCUCUGGUCUGUAACUGACGCUGAGGCUCGAAAGCGUGGGGAGCAAACAGGAUUAGAUACCCUGGUAGUCCACGCCGUAAACGAUGAGUGCUAAGUGUUGGAGGGUUUCCGCCCUUCAGUGCUGCAGCUAACGCAUUAAGCACUCCGCCUGGGGAGUACGACCGCAAGGUUGAAACUCAAAGGAAUUGACGGGGGCCCGCACAAGCGGUGGAGCAUGUGGUUUAAUUCGAAGCAACGCGAAGAACCUUACCAGGUCUUGACAUCCUUUGACCACUCUAGAGAUAGAGCUUCCCCUUCGGGGGCAAAGUGACAGGUGGUGCAUGGUUGUCGUCAGCUCGUGUCGUGAGAUGUUGGGUUAAGUCCCGCAACGAGCGCAACCCUUAUUGUUAGUUGCCAUCAUUUAGUUGGGCACUCUAGCAAGACUGCCGGUGACAAACCGGAGGAAGGUGGGGAUGACGUCAAAUCAUCAUGCCCCUUAUGACCUGGGCUACACACGUGCUACAAUGGGAAGUACAACGAGUCGCAAAGUCGCGAGGCUAAGCUAAUCUCUUAAAGCUUCUCUCAGUUCGGAUUGUAGGCUGCAACUCGCCUACAUGAAGCCGGAAUCGCUAGUAAUCGCGGAUCAGCACGCCGCGGUGAAUACGUUCCCGGGCCUUGUACACACCGCCCGUCACACCACGAGAGUUUGUAACACCCGAAGUCGGUGAGGUAACCUUUUGGAGCCAGCCGCCUAAGGUGGGAUAGAUGAUUGGGGUG